rnacentral:rRNA from 1 species
UACGUAGGGGGCUAGCGUUGUCCGGAAUCAUUGGGCGUAAAGCGCGUGUAGGCGGUCCGGUAAGUCCGCUGUGAAAGCCAGGGGCUCAACCCUUGGAUGCCGGUGGAUACUGUCGGGCUUGAGUACGGAAGAGGCGAGUGGAAUUCCUGGUGUAGCGGUGAAAUGCGUAGAUAUCAGGAGGAACACCAAUUGCGAAGGCAGCUCGCUGGGACGUUACUGACGCUGAGACGCGAAAGCGUGGGGAGCAAACAGG